AACGACUUAUCCUCUUCAUACGAUAAACUUCACUCUUCCUUUGUCCAUUCAAUCCCAUGAAUAUCUUCUCAUCAAAAUCUUCUCCUAUACCAAUAAAUAAUUUCGAUUUCCAAUUCAACAAUCAUGGAACCAGCCGACUUCUUCACCGAUUUGGCUUCAAAUUAAAAAAUAUCUCAUGAUUUCUAUCUUUUCCCAGGUUUGUCACAAUUUCGUCUCCACCAGAACUGCGGUCUCACCACAGUCUAAAUUUAAUUUUUUUGUUAAUUUCUGCUGAUUUCUGAUGAUUUCAAUUAUAUAAAUAUGACAAAUUUCUUUUCCGAGUUCACACUGCUUUCGAGUUGUUCAUCUCUGUUAUAUUUACAAUUUCUACUACUAUAUUAUUGUUGUUAUCUAUCUAAACACUAAACACAUUAACCUUAAUUUGUUCAGUUUUAUUUCUGUAACCUUUUCGCUUUUCUUUCGAUUUUCUAGCCCCGUCUUUGACCAAAUCACGGGUAUCACUAUAACGCAGCAAUUUCCACUGUUUUAGAACAAAAAAAAAUGCUCUAUACCUUUUGAUUUAAUUAUCCAGGUUCAAUUAUACCAUGGCAUCUGGUAAAGGUCUUUACUUUUUCCUGUUUAAUCAAUAGUAUUGUCUUUGAUUUUUACCGGUUAAUUUGGUGAGAACGAAAGGGCGUUGAAUUAAUUUUUCAUGGUGCUUUGUCUUUGAAUUAUUCAUAAUGGUACUACGUGAUUCUUUCAUCUCUUUUUUUUGGUUAAAUUUGUAGGUUCUGACUCUUUCAAAUCAAAAUCUUCAUUGACUUCAAAGCACAUAUUUAAGAUAACGGAUGAUGGAUCAGUUGAGUUUAGCGAUAAUUCUGAUUUACUAUUUUGAUGUUUUUAUAUCGCACUAUUGGAGGAUUUCUCCUUUUCAUAUCGUAAUUAGAUCGUAAUUUGAUAGAGCCAAUUGUUAAUUAUGCUGCCAAUAGCAUUGGAGUUGGAUAAUGUAGCUUUGGAGGCUUCAUUCCUGGUCAGAUAUUUGGCCAACAAUAUUUUUCUAAAAGAUGUGUUUAUCUGUUGUAUCAUCAUUUUUAUGGAUUUGAUUGUUUAGUAAAAUGUUUAUUGAAUUUGA